rnacentral:rRNA from 1 species
GACGAACGCUGGCGGCGUGCUUAACACAUGCAAGUCGAACGGAAAGGCCCUGCUUUUGUGGGGUGCUCGAGUGGCGAACGGGUGAGUAACACGUGAGUAACCUGCCCUUGACUUUGGGAUAACUUCAGGAAACUGGGGCUAAUACCGGAUAGGAGCUCCUGCUGCAUGGUGGGGGUUGGAAAGUUUCGGCGGUUGGGGAUGGACUCGCGGCUGAUCAGCUUGUUGGUGGGGUAGUGGCUUACCAAGGCAUUGACGGGUAGCCGGCCUGUGAGGGUGACCGGCCACAUUGGGACUGAGAUACGGACCAGACUCCUACGGGAGGCAGCAGUGGGGAAUAUUGCACAAUGGGCGGAAGCCUGAUGCAGCAACGCCGCGUGCGGGAUGACGGCCUUCGGGUUGUAAACCGCUUUCGCCUGUGACGAAGCGUGAGUGACGGUAAUGGGUAAAGAAGCACCGGCUAACUACGUG